UUAUAUGCUUGUCUUAAAGAUUAAGCCAUGCAAGUGUAAGUACGGCCCUACUCUUCGAGGGGGCGAGACUGCGGACGGCUCAUUAAAUCAGUUAUGAUUCCCAGGAGCCAGAACCACUUACUUGGAUAACUGUGGCAAUUCUAGAGCUAAUACAUGCACUUCAAGCUCCACCUGCCCCGUUCGCGGGGCGGGAGGUUGCGCACCUGUUAGCCUCGAAAGGCGGCGGCUUCGGCCCCGUCGAAAGGAGAUGAAUUCUGGACAGCUUUGCCGAUCGCACGGCCUCUUGUGCCGGCGACGUACCUUUCAAGUGUCUGACCUAUCAUACUAGAUGGUUUGCGAUCUGCGCACCAUGGUUGCAACGGGUGACGGGGAAUCAGGGUUCGAUUCCGGAGAGGGAGCAUGAGAAACGGCUGCCACAUCCAAGGAAGGCAGCAGGCACGCAACUUACCCAAUGCCGACACGGCGAGGUAGUGACGAAAAAUACCAAUACGGGAGCCGCUACACGCGGUCCCGCAAUUGAAAUGAGUACACUCUAAAUCCUUUAACGAGGAUCUAUUGGAGGGCAAGUCUGGUGCCAGCAGCCGCGGUAAUUCCAGCUCCAAUAGCGUAUGUCAAUGCUGCUGCGGUUGAAACGCUCGGAGUUGGAUCUCGGUGACGGGCCGACGGUCUCGCUCUCGGAGCGAUGCACGGUCGGCGAUAGGGGAGGGUUUAACCGCUCUCCCUUGCCUCCGUCCCUCUGUCCGGAAUGUAUUUGUCCUAGCCCGGGUGCUCUUGACUGAGUCGCUCGGUGCCUGGCCGGACGCUUCACUGUGAAAAAAUUAGAGUGCUCAAAGCAGGCCUCAGUGCCGGUAUAUCGCUGCAUGGAAUGAUAGAGAAGGACCUCGGCGCGUGCCCUCUGGGUGCGGCGCACGAGGUAAUGAUUAAGAGGGACUGCCGGGGGCAUACGUACUGCGGCGCGAGAGGUGAAAUUCUGUGACCGUCGCAGGACGAGCUAAAGCGAAGGCAUUUGCCAAGAAUGUCUUCAUUAAUCCAGAACGAAAGUCAGAGGCUCGAAGACGAUCAGAUACCGUCGUAGUUCUGACCGUAAACUCUGCCUACUGGCAAUCCGCCGACGGUAUCUCAACGACUCGGCGAGCGGCCUACGGGAAACCAAAGUGUUUGGGUUCCGGGGGGAGUACGGUCGCAAGGCUGAAACUUAAAGGAAUUGACGGAAGGGCACCACCAGGAGUGGAGCCUGUGGCUUAAUUUGACUCAACACGGGAAACCUCACCCGGUCCGGACACUGGUAGGAUUGACAGACUAACGCUCUUUCUUAAUUCAGUGGGUGGUGGUGCAUGGCCGUUCUUAGUUGGUGGAGUGAUUUGUCUGGUUAAUUCCGAUAACGAACGAGACUCUUGCCUGCUAAAUAGUUCGGGGACCUAGGUCCGUCCGCUCUGCGGGGGACCUGCUUCGGGUCACUCGAUCGCUCUACGGAGCCAACUUCUUAGAGGCACAAGUGGCGCUUAGCCACACGAAACGGAGCAAUAACAGGUCUGUGAUGCCCUUAGAUGUCCGGGGCCGCACAUGCGCUACAAUGGCUGCAUCAGCGCGAGUCUCUCCUGAAAGGGCGAGGAAACCGCUCAACCGCAGUCCCGGUUGGGAUUGGGGGCUGCAAGUGUCCCCCAUGAACACGGAAUUCCUAGUAGGCGCCAGUCAUCAGCUGGCGUCGAUUGAGUCCCUGCCCUUUGUACACACCGCCCGUCGCUACUACCGAUCGCUCUCGUUAAUGAGCCCGUCGGAUUGGACCCGGUGGGGCGCGUUCGCGUGCCCCGCGUCCUGGUGUUUGCCGAGAAGAUGGGCGAAUUAUCGGGAGUAGAGGAAGUAAAAGUCGUAACAAGGUAUCC
rnacentral:rRNA from 1 species